UCCUUCAGUAGAAAAUACUGUGUGAAUAGUUUCCUUGAGCUGCUAUUGGGAACCCUCCAUCCACACUGCUGCCCAUUCUGUGAAACUGUUCUCUUCUACAGGGAUAGGGGAGAAAUACUCUUUCUAGAAGCUGAAGACAAGUUUUCCAUUGGCUUUUCUGAAGAUCCUCUUAGAGAUACAUUCCUAGAUUAAAAAUCAUUGGACCACAACUAGGCAAAUCGUUCUGGGGACUGAUUCAAGAAGAAUCCAAACUAAGUUUAUCAUCAAACAAAGAUAUCUUCAAGGCCUUGAAAUGGAUAACUUUCAAGUACUUACUUUGAAUUAUGGUUCUGACCAAGCACUUCACACUCCUGUGGCCAUCAAGAUACCCUUAGACCUUUCAGAAACUGUUCCUAGACAUUGGUGUUUCUGCCAACUUUUCUUAAUUUAUCUAUUGCUGUUCAUCAUCUGGAUCCUGUGGCAACUUUAGUUCCUCUAAUGAUCAAUUACCAAUCAGAAAACUUGAUCAUGCCUAUCUAAACUAUGGAUUAUUUAUGACCAAUAUGAUUUAAAAGAAAUAAAGCCAGAUAGAAGCA